rnacentral:rRNA from 1 species
AUUGAACGCUGGCGGCAGGCCUAACACAUGCAAGUCGAGCGGAUGAAGGGAGCUUGCUCCUGGAUUCAGCGGCGGACGGGUGAGUAAUGCCUAGGAAUCUGCCUGGUAGUGGGGACAACGUUUCGAAAGGAACGCUAAUACCGCAUACGUCCUACGGGAGAAAGCAGGGGACCUUCGGGCCUUGCGCUAUCAGAUGAGCCUAGGUCGGAUUAGCUAGUUGGUGAGGUAAUGGCUCACCAAGGCGACGAUCCGUAACUGGUCUGAGAGGAUGAUCAGUCACACUGGAACUGAGACACGGUCCAGACUCCUACGGGAGGCAGCAGUGGGGAAUAUUGGACAAUGGGCGAAAGCCUGAUCCAGCCUUGCCGCGUGUGUGAAGAAGGUCUUCGGAUUGUAAAGCACUUUAAGUUGGGAGGAAGGGUUGUAGAUUAAUACUCUGCAAUUUUGACGUUACCGACAGAAUAAGCACCGGCUAACUCUGUGCCAGCCGCCGCAGUAACAC